CUUCCACUACAAUCAAUACAGAGAAAUAGGCAGGGCUGCUAACAUCAGGCUCCAUUAAGAUGACUCUUUCUACCCUCCUGAUCUUUAGACCCCAAGAGAAGUGCGAAGAAAAAAAGAGAAUAAGAAAGGAUGGAUGAGAGAAAAUAAGAUUGAGGAAAGGGGGCGUGGUAGUUUUUCCCUAAACCAUCAAUUGCCAAGGUUACUUUUGGCAGCGAGAAAAAGAGAAAGGGGCAGAAUGUGCCUGUCUGAAGCUUUUGUACUUCUGCCCAGACUGUGGGGAAAAUGAUGGGAUUAAAUAAAAAUGCCAGCGAUAACAAAAAGGAAAUCUUCCCAAUAGUUUUCCUUGCCUGAAGAAUGAACUGCUUGAAGCUAUGACCUCCCUGCCUGUCUCAAUGAGGUCAAGAAACUGACUGUCACUCCUACAUUUGUGAUUAAUGAUGCUCCCGCUGGUGACGUAUUUCUAACCACAGUCUCUGGAGAGCAGCAAGACUCAGUUGCCUUGUGGUGUGUUGAGUCAUUGCUCUGGCAAAAGAUCUGUUUGCUCCAGCAACAGGCUUAGCUUUCAACAAGGCGUCCUCUUGAUUCUUUGCUGCAACAUCCUAUCAUGAAAGAACAGAGAGCCCAGUACAAAGAAGGACUGCUAAGAAGGAUGAAACAUUAAAUUAAUUUAAAAAAAGCUUUUGUACUGAAUGGCAAAAUGCAGCAUAAUGAAUAAUUAAACAAUUAAUAAUGUAAUCCUCUUAAAAGCACACAGCCACUAUGGGAGAAGAUUAAGUGUUUAACAGUUUCCAGUAUAAUGCAAAUGCAGGUAUUUGAGGUCCAGAAGAUGAUGGGCAAGAUGAAAAACCUGAUCACUGCAGAAAAAAAGAAUCAGAAGUACAGCCAGGACCAGAUGCUGAAGAAGAUCAAUUUGAUGUGGAUUCAUAGACUCUAUGGGAUAAAUCAGGCAACAAAGCCAGUGGGAAUUAAGAAGCAGGCAGAAGCAGAGCCAGGAGGUACACAGCUGAUUUAGCAUCUUUAUAGCUAUGAGUUUUCUUUUAAGCUCAUUCCCCUCUAAGAUACAUCUAUUGGUUUUGAAGUUACUGCUCCCUGAGACCAAUCUCAAUGGCGUUCUUGAACUUGAAAUCAAAAAGAUCUGCAUCCUCCUUCCAGCUCUGACAAGUAUUAGCUGCAUAAACCUAGACAAAAUAUUUAUAUUAUUUGAAUUAUAAUGGGCAACAUAAUAUCUCACUCAGAAAUAUUAUGAAGAUUAAAUAAAAUAUUGAGUGUCAGCUACACAGCACACUGUAGGCUCUUCAUGAUGUUAUCCCCUCCCUGUGCAUUCAUGCUUACAACACCCUUGAAGCCCUCUGGAAUAGAAAGUAUCCAGGUUUCAUGUUGUGGUGAUAGGGGAAAAUGGUCAUAUGAUAGAGGUGUUAUUACACCGGUGGAAAGUGUGAUGCCAGAUAAGCCACUUAAAGAUGCAACCCGUUCCUAACUUAGCAAGUACUGAGACCAGCUUCAGUGCCAGCAAAGUUUAAUACCCAUUCCCAUGAGCAUGGGACCCAGCAGGGUCAAAUGUAAGAUGAGUUCCUCUAAGUCGGGGUGAAGGAGAACUCAUGCUAUACAAAGCUUUCAUGGAGAAGACUAGGAGCAGGAGAUACAAAGUGUGCAAGUCAAUCAUGACUGUUAAUAAUAAGCAUAUAUAUAUACAUGCACACACACAUAUAGAUAUGAAACUAAGCACCUGCCAUGUGCCAGAGUCUGUGCUGGGAGUUUUACGUCUCAUUCAUUCUCAUAAUUCCUGCACGGUAAGUAUUAAUAUUGCCAUUUUAUAGAUGGGGACAUUGAUCUUCAAAGAGGUAAAAUAACUUGUCCAAAUUACACAGCCAGCAAGUAAUAGUAACGAAUCUGUUCAACUCUGUAUGCUUGGAUCUUAUUUUUGAUUCAUUGAUUUAUUUCGGAGGCUGAAAUAAUGUGGGGAUUUUGAUAUGGUUCUUCCGCUACAGGGACCUGCUACCAGUUAACCAGAGAUUUAACCUGAAAUUUUGAUUGCUGUUGUAUAGGCCCCUCCAA
rnacentral:lncRNA from 10 species